rnacentral:tRNA from 1 species
GCCGAGGUGGCGGAGUCUGGUUAACGCGCGGGCCUGCUAAGCUCGUCUCCCUCGGGGAGACUUGGGUUCGAAUCCCAACCUCGGCG